rnacentral:rRNA from 1 species
GAUGAACGCUGGCGGCGUGCCUAAUACAUGCAAGUCGAGCGAACAGACGAGGAGCUUGCUCCUCUGACGUUAGCGGCGGACGGGUGAGUAACACGUGUAUAACCUACCUAUAAGACUGGGAUCACUUCGGGAAACCGGAGCUAAUACCGGAUAAUAUAUUGAACCGCAUGGUUCAAUAGUGAAAGACGGUUUUGCUGGCACUUAUAGAUGGAUCCGCGCCGCAUUAGCUAGUUGGUAAGGUAACGGCUUACCAAGGCUACGAUGCGUAGCCGAACUGAGAGGCGGAUCGGCCACACUGGAACUGAGACACGGUCCAGACUCCUACGGGAGGCAGCAGUAGGGAAUCUUCGGCAAUGGGCGAAAGCUUGACGGAGCGACGCCGCGUGAGUGAUGAAGGUCUUCGGAUCGUAAAACUCUGUUAUGAGGGAAGAACAAAUGUGUAAGUAACUAUGCACGUCUUGACGGUACCUAAUCAAAAAGCCACGGCUAACUACGUG